CUCUGUUUCUCGUCUUCCUUUCUAUACAAAGCAGCUGGUCCCUGCAGAUUAACAGGGCCCAGCUGCAUCUGGUCUCCAGCCACUUAACCCCUUCUGAGCUGUUUCCUCGCCCUUGCAGAAGAAAACAGGAUUGUCUGCUUUCCAGAAGCCUCCUGGGGCUUGAAGUAAGAGCAUCCCUACUAGCAAAGAUAGUGUGGGUUUUAAAUCAGGGAGAAAAAAGCUUGCUACACUCUGAAAAGAUUUUUAUUUCAUGUAAUAAGCCCCAUGCUUUACAGAGUUUAAAAGCAAGGGCAUGAGAGAAUUAAGCAGACUUGGAAACAGUAAUGUCAUACCCCAGUGUACUAAGGAUUUAUGGAUGUUAUUUUAUAACUUGUUGAGUUUGAUGUGGAAUGAUCUCUGCUCUGUAACUACAGUAAUUAUUUCGUAAAGUACUCUAUUGUUAUGCUGUCACCCAUUAAGCAUGCUGCGUAGUGGUUAAAAAGUAUUUAGACAGAUUGCACACCUGUAUGAAAUUCUUCCAGACUUUCCAGAGGGGAUGGGAGUCUGCAUUCACAAGGGUUUCUUCUUACAGCUUGUGGAAUCCUCAGAAACAUGAGUAGCUUUCAGCUCCUGUUCCCACCAAAGAAUUUCCUCUUUGGAAGGCUGCUAUACCCUUUCCUGGCAAUUCUGGUGUGAGACAGCAAUCUGCAUAAUAUCAGUUGUAUUGCCUUCCAAGUGAGCCAUCUAAAGGACACUCAGGACUCACGUAACUGCAACCAGAGCUGUUCUCCAGCUCCCCGAACAGGCACCCAGACAAGCCUGGACGCCGCCAGUCAUCAUUCCAGACAUGAUGUAGUUUGGUUUUUGCUGUGAUGGAAAGAAACACUUCUCACUGCGUCUGUGUCUCCUCCUUCCAAUGACUGGAGGAACUAAGGCCAUCCAAAAGCACGAAGCAAGAUCUUGCGGCUUAGCCCAGCCAUUAAGGCUUUUUGAAAUCUCGGUAGGUGCAGAGAAAUAGCCCACUGCUCUAGCCCACCUCGAGUGCAUCCGGUCUCCGGUGGACUUUCCUGUCUUUGACCAAAUCUUAGCAGCUUAACUGUGGGACCCCAGCAGGUCAGCCUGUAUCCUCUGGACCAGAAAGUUUCUUCUAACCUCAUUUGAGCCAGUAUUUUUUCCACAUGAGAGUAAUGAAAUUCAUUUCUUUAUGAUGUGAUUCUGACCCCAGGAAGCCCCAGAGCUACAGGAGACAGAGACAGCUGUUAGUCUAGCAGAAACUGCCAGGUUUGUGAAGACCUUGUGAUGGACUCAGAACAUCAGCAGAAGCAGAGGGCCCAGGGGAAAGACCAGACCUUAGCUGAAGUCAGCCUGAAAGGAGAACAAAGAGAAACAAGGAGAAAGAAGAGUUAAAGAGAAGAGAAAACAGCUAAAAGUCUAACUCUGAGCCAAGGAGAUCAGCUGGAGAGUUGCUUGUUUGCACAGGGUGAUAGCUGAGCUGGAUUAGGGCUGGACUGAAUCAAACGUGAGGCAGGAGAUUAUGGAAGGAUCCAGUUAAGUUGGGAGGGGAAGAGGCUGAAUAUAGGGAUGUGUCAAGUGACAGAACAUAAACUUUAGAAACUAAGACAAGCAUUCGUAGAAUUCCAGUAUUAAUUGUCAUAUUGACUCCUUUUCUUUCUGUGGUGCUUAUAACUGCAUUAGCAGAUUAACGUAUGAUAUUGCCUGAGUGCAGAGUAUGGAUUUUUUGCAUAAAGCAGGAUGGAAUCAGAUUUGGGGGGGGCAGGAGUGGCAUCAGAAAUUCCAGUCCAAGUAAUCUACUUUUAUUCCUGAUCACUAAAAAAGAUGAUAAUAAUAAUAAUAAUAAUAAUUCUAGAGUCAGUGCAAUAUCUACCCACUGAUGCCCUGCAACACAAUAGAUGUCACUCCCAGUGCAGCCUAGGGUGAAGCUGCCUGCUGCUUCCUCUCUAGGCUCAUCACCUCCCAGUCCUUAUUCAUUUUCCAUCCUGUAAUAUUCAGAUCAAAGCAUUCUUGCCAUACUGGCAUUUUUCAAUGCAUAAAGCUUUUUUUUUUUUUUUUUUUUUUUUUUUUUCUUUUCUUCCUUUUUUUUUUAAAAAAAAAAAAAAAAAAGGUUAAUAGUUGAAGGUCGCCCUCCCUGGUCUCUCACCACCUCGCCUGCUCAGGACAAGCGCUCGCUGCAGCUGGCACGGGGCCGGCAGCAGAUGCACAGGGCUGGGUGCUGCCAUUGGGGUGCACCUGUUGGCUUGCCACCAUCUGCUAGCCAAAAACGGGACAAAGCCCCACCCCAUGCCGGCCAGCUGAAGAGGGCUUAAUCUCCUCCCCAUGGGUUUUGAGCCGGUGGCCGUGGCACACGCCAUACAAAGGCGUGGACCUGCACCUAAUCUCCAAUCCUUGCAGGGGGCUGCUUCUCAUGCUGACAAGAAAGGGCUCUUUAAAUAAAUCCAGAGAGCUAUUACCUGACAAGAAAGCCUCUUAUAAACUGCCUUUUAAAAAUUAUUAUUUAAAAAGAGAGAAAGGUAUUAGGUUAACAUGGAUACUAAUAUUAAGUAAAUUAAGCCGCGGCAGUAUUUUUUUUGGAGGCUGCUGCUGCUCCUUGCUAAAGGGGUGACUUGUAAGCUGAAUAGCUCAAAUGCUUGCUUUGGAAACCGUAGGCUUGGUUUAGUGCAUGCCAUGGCUGUGCCCUAUAAUUACCUAACCAGUCCCUGUGAAUCUGAGCUGCCAAGGCAUCACUGCUAUACAAAAAAAAUCAUGCUUUGGGAAGCUGGUCACCCAGGUAGGUUAAAAUUAUCAAGUUUCCUGCAUUAAAAAAAAAAAAAAAUAAUGUUUAAGCAGGAUUUAUACAAAAAGUAAAGGGAGUUUCAGAAACUGCCUAUUCAAAUUUCAAAGCUAGCCUGCGUGAAAUACUGCAGACACUAGGACAUGACCGACACUGUUUUAGUGUUUAACCUGUAAAGAGUUUUCUAACAUUCAGCUUAACAAUAGGGAAUAGGAUGGAUGCAAAGAAAACCUGCUACCACUGAACCUUGUGCUGAGCCCUUGUUUUGAAAUACACCCAGUUUUGUCCAAGUGCAGGAGCAACAGACUCGACAACUCAGCUGCUGUCUUUUUUAUCAGGCGUGAAUGCAAGAUCCCUCUGUUUCUGAGACCUUGAGCACAGAUACUUCAUUACAUCAGCAUCCUGCACUGUUUGCAUUUUUCAUCUACCUGUGCAUUUAAGCCAGAUAGGUACACCAGGAGCUCUCAUAGACAGAGGUUUGUCUUUGCUAUCAGUCAUUGUUCUACAGUGACACUCCAAUCUUAAUUUAUUUUCUGUCGUAUGCAUCAAGUACAUUAAAAAGAAUAACAGCAAAUAAAAUUAUAACAACAAUCUUUUAAGAGCUGCUCGCCACCCCCAAGCACUGCAGCUAGGGUAAAUAAUUUUAGUAGGAAAUAUUUUUUCCAAGGAAAAUACUGGAAGUUUCAUUAUUUGAAAUAUUUUAAUUUAGACUUGAUAAAGCAAUGGUGAAUAUACAGCGGGGUAAUGAUCUUACAUCCAGAGGGAUUACGACUUUUCUAUCUCUAAAUUUGCAGAAGCUAUCUGAAGGCAAACAUUGACUAGGAAUGUAUUAAAUUACCGUGAGCAAUCCAAAUUUUUUAAGAAAGUUAAAUAUUAAAAUAUAUAAAUAAAUUACAAGUUUUCCCUUUAAAAUAUGCACGAGGUAAUUCAGAGCAAAUGUUAGAACAAGUCCGUCUGCUAAAUUAGUCACAAGGUACUAGUGGCUACUUUUCCAUUUACGCUAAUGAUGAGAAAUGUAAAAGGCCGGCUUCAUAAUUCAGUGUUCAUUUCAAGAGGUUCCAAGAACACUUAUGCUAGAUGGGUCUGUCUAGCUAAUCAGCCAGUUUCUUCUCUCCUUUUAAGAUCGAAACACAAUUAUAGAACCUGUACUUCCAAUCUUUGCAUUUUUCCCCCCUGCACUAAAAUGUAUUUCAAUGUAAGGAAUGCUGGAGGAUGAUAGAGUUGAAUUAACACCCUUAAACUAAGCAUAUUGCAUUCUCUUAAAUCAAUGGUUUCACUUCUGCCCUCAAGCAAUAUGUGAUUUGUAAAUCUGAGACAUGCUACCUUUAGGCAGUAGGCACUCUCUUUAAAAACACGAAAGUAGGCAACAUAUGGUGGCACUAUGCAAUAUGAAAUUGUUCUAAAGAUACAAGUUUUCAGCCUCAGUGGUACAAGCCCAAUUUUAAA